CUGACGUUUUAUGGCAACCUGGAGUCCUACUGUGUACAUUAACGGCUGAACUUGUAUACCCCCAGUUUGCUUGGUCAUUGGACGCAGGCUUCACUGAUAAGGGUACGGCUGCGGGUGAAGCAGUUCUAGGCAGAUAAGGCUGACCCUGAAGUUGCUGUCAGCUGGAGGCUCACAGAGCACGAGCACAGCACAGAAUGUGCUGACCACAUUCCUCUCAGCUGAGCAGCAAGGCCAGUCUUGAAGAAGGACCUGGGCAGUGUAUUGCUAUGUUCACCACAGGCCGGUGCUGAGAAACUUGGGGAAGUCCCGUCCGUCGCCCUGCCAAACGAGGAUGGACAGGUAGCAGCUCUCCUAAGAAGCAGUCAUCCUAGAGCACGCCUGUUCUGGAGAGAGUGGCUCUCGCUCAGUGGAUCAGGUUCAUUCCUUGGGCUUCCUCAAGUUCUGAUGUGUUGUGUUGGAUAAGCAGUUGGACUUACAUCCCAUCUUCACCAAUAUCCCGAGAAGAGCUUCCUAAUCACAAAAUAGAUCCAAAAACACAAGGUUUGACAUGCAGCACUGGGAGUCUAUCAGUGAACAAGCUACGUAUUGUCUCUGCCUUCAUGGAGAUUCCCACCUAUUAUGGGAGACAUACAUCUAAAAAAUAUCAUGGAACUGGCCAAGUUAAUGGAUACCUUGAAUGAUUGCAUCAAGUACAAAGGAUUGGGACAAGUGGACUGAGAUGAAAUUUGACGGAAAUAAAGUGUGCAUCAUAAUUACUUGGAAAGCUUGUGAAAUGAAGAAUCUCAAGACUUGCCGACAGUUUCUGGUUUGUCUGGAGCCCGGGAAUCUGCAUUUUAACAAGAAACAAGUUCAUAGUCAUACUGGUGUUGAAGGGCUGUUUCUCCCAGGUAUUGGGGCCUGUGGAAGUUGCCUGAAGAUGGGCCAUAGGCACAAAAUGAAGUCCCAUAAGCAGAAAGAAAGAACAUUUCAGAGGGAACUAGGGAACGUGGUCAGAGAGGUGCGCAAUGAGCAAAACAAAAAGGACACUAAUGAGAUGUGGGAGAAAGCGUGUUAAAAGCUGAAGCGAGAGCUAGAGAGAGUCUUUUUAGCUUAUAACAUCCAGAUUUGCCUGUUGAGAUGAAAUAGAAGACAGGAAAAGGAGAAGAAAUAGAAGAUGACCAAGUUGCUGUUAAAGCAUUUAUUAAAUUAGCCCACACUUCUAGCUAAAUUCCCUGGUCAUUUGAUCAGUCUUAUGUCCCAACAUUUCUCUUUGAGAUACUUAUUGCACCAUAGCAAAAUCAUAAGAAAGUCCUAUCAGAAAUAAAUGACUGAUUGAAUUCAUUGCCCUUAUUCUCAGAAGUUCUACUGAGGUGCCUACCUUCUGUAGAGAGGAAGAUGGAAUUUCAGAGGAGCUGAAAGGAAAUCACAUUCAGAAGAGAUAGGAUCUAAAAUCGCCAGUAGAAAGAUGGAAGCCUGUUAUUCCCUGCCUCAGGAAAGAAAACAUCAAAACUUCAAAGUUCAAGUGCCUAUUUUAAGAGUUUAGAGUUCAAAAUGGCAUCUGGUUAGCCACUGGUGAUUACAAAAUUUCUAUGUAUGGAAGGCUUGGAGGCAGCAAUAGGGUUGGAAGGAAGCCUGAAGUUGGGUUUGCAUAGCAUUUUACAUUAAGUUUGAGAAAGUCAGCUGUUCAUCUCAAAGGAUAAAGGGUGAUGGGGAUUAUUGGUGGUGGCUUAGGGGUGGCUAAAACCAUCCCAGACCCUUUUUUGGUGUGCCAACAAUGAGGCUACUACUCCCUGAGGCAGGCUCACACAAUAUCUCACUAAAACAUCUAUAAAACCACAGGAAAAAUGAAAACAUGAGUCUUAAAGAGACUAAUAAACUGUUGCCUAUGUUCUGGAGGGGACUGGACUGAAUAUGAAGACCUUAAAAUAACCUCUGCACACCCUCCCACCUGAAAUGAAGGAAGGUGGACGUCCCCACCCCUGCAGCCUCUUCGUUUCAAAGCAGACACUUGCUGGUCUACCAAUCCACUCAGUGCCCUUGGGCCAUCCUCGUGAAGGCAUCGGGGAACAUCUGGAUCCCCCCCAUGGCACACGCACGCAUGGGAUGCCAUCUCUGCGCCGCCUCCCUUUGCCAAUGCUGCAUUAUAUCUCUCACCCAGUGUUAAACAUCACAUUGAGCCACUAUAGAUAGGGCUUCUCUAGACCCAGGCGAGCAGUCCACUAACUCCAAGAUCCUCAUUUUCCCUAACACAUUUUCUAGAUGUUUUUUAUUGACCUCCAUGCUAAGGGGAGGAAAGUGAGAUCACUGGGACCUGACUUUAUCCUCUCUCUUCUUUUUCUUCAAACUCCACUAGAAAAAGAACAGAUGGACUGUCAUUCCUUUCUGUGUGACAGGGUUUGCUUACUGAGUUCUCUCUGCUUUAUAUGUGUAGCGGAACUCUAUGAUCAAGUCAGCAGUCACGUGAGAGCUUAGGGAAUUUAGAAACUCCUUUUCUCUCUGGGCAAAGGCCCUUGACAGUCAGAAGCUGACCAUUAAAUGCUUUCUUUCUCUUGCAUUCCUGCUGUUAACAGUCCUAAUUACCCCUGACCCUUAUCCAAGUCAGAUGGAGGGUCAAAAAAGGAAAACCAUACUAAAAUAUUUCCGAAAAUAUUUUUCAUAUUACACAGACAUUCCCCCAGUUUGUCAUUGUUUUGAGCGUUGCUUGUUUUUAUUUAUAGCCAUUUUUAAUUGUUAUGUGAUUCCCUUAUUGAAUAAGGGAGCAGACUGCCGCCUCAGGACUGUCGCACUUAGCUUCCCUUCAAUCUGCAAUGCUCACCCUCACCCCAUCUUCAUCUCCUUAUCUGCUCUCCUCAGGUCUCUGUUCAAAUGCCAUCCUUACAAAAGGUCUUUCCUGACCAUUCCAUCUCAAAUAAGCACUCCCCUAAUUACUUUGCAUUCACUUUUCUCUAAUCUUCUUCAUAGCACUUAUUACCACCUGACGUAUUAUUUGUUUAUUGGUUGAUUUUGUCUCCUCCCAUUGGAAUGUAAGCUCCUUGAAGGAGAGGUAUAUUUUGUUAACUGUCAUAUCCCCAAGGUCUAAACUUGGACUUUUCUGCAUUUAUUAAGAUGUAUCUUUUUCCUCCUUUGACCUCAUUUUGGGAUGACUUAUGAAUAAAAUUACAAAUCAUUUUUAAAUUCCUAGAAGUAAUUUUAUGUAGUUAUUUUGAAAACGUAUAAUAUUGCCAUCUGUUUUAUAAUGUUGCUUUUAGAAUAUUUUCAUCUAUAUUUAUAAGUCAAUUGAUUUGUACUCUCUUUUACUGUAUUAAAAUCUGUAUUAAAAUC
ensembl:lncRNA